AUGUAGUGUCGAUUGCCAGUCAGGGUCCUGUCUGAUAACGCGAUGCGCUAAACUCGGCUCGCAGGGUUCCUUUAUCAAGCCCCUCUAAAUGCCUAGAAAAAUAGAUGACUCCAAAUUAUUGAAGUGCAAUUAAGGCCACAAAAUAAAAGACACCUGAAUUGACUCUGUAUAAGGCAGACGGGGUUCAGUUCGGCUUAGCAGCAGAGAAAUGCGCGGUCUGAGCAGAAUUACUGCAAUUUCAGAUGAAGGUCCAAGCGUGUCGAAAGGCUCUUGUCUGAUCCUAUUUGGGUCCCACAAGGAGCACCGCUGAAGCAGAGCUAGUAAAUAUUGAUGGAUUCGAGCUUCAUGUCCUGAAAUCAGGUCUGUCAAUGCAGUGCUUCCCGUUCUGUCACAGCACACCAGACAUUUUCUACUCUUGGGCACCGUGAUUCCCCUAUUACUAUUUGGAAACUGGGUAGUGGAUUGCAUAGUCACUCUUUUAUCCAGCAACUUGCAGAAGUAAUCAAGCUUUGAUGCAGAAUAUGAUGUCAAAUAAAGUACACGUUCCUGGUACUGGAAAAACACUGUUCUCUCUGACAUAUGUUUCAAGCACGCUUUCACAAUUUAUUGUUUCCAUUAGAAAAGUAUCUAGUAAUCUGAAAAUCGAUCUGAAAACCAUUGUUCUAGAUACUACACCUGACACAUAAUAAAAAGAAAGCUCAUGCCCUGCAGAGCUUGUAGCAAGAGCAGAUUAAACAUGUUCUAAGGAUACCCGUUGAGAGAGUUGUGCAGGUUUUCUCAGGUCUCACAAACGUAUUGCACCAGCACAAACAAACCUGCCAGAGCACUUUUCCAAACACCAGCACGCAAACAGACAGGUCCAAAGAAAAAGGCUGAAGCUUUAACCUACCUCGGAACUCUUCCCUUGCUUCUAACAAGCCCUCCUGACUCUGAAUGACCUCUCGGUUCUCCACAGAAGCGAGGGCCGCAGCUCAGGGGAAGCCAGCAUCUCUCCCGAGCGAGCGAGGGCAGAGCAGCAGCACGCACAAAGGUGAUGGGUUUCUCCACAGGCAGACACACGCACGCACCGUGCACCGCCUCUCCGGGCUACCUGUCUCAUCUUGUCUUAGCCAUUUCUAACGAGCAGGCAGGGUAAUGGAGCAUGCAGAAAUCUUGCUUUUUGAAGCACCCUGGAAACAGGCUUGUGUUUUUUGGUACCUAGGUGGCCCGGAAGAUCUUGUUGGGAAGCAAGCACCAAAUAGUGCCAGAUCACAUCAGGCUGUAAGAUACCUGAGGACUGUUUGUUUGCAGACUGCUGGAAGACAGAGACGGAAUCACCUAUUGAACUUUCCCACACUGAAGCCAUAAAGUCGACCACAGCAUCUUGGAGGUUUUGUCUGCAGUUUGGUCAUCCCCUUUCUUCUGCUGCUUCUCCAUCAGGGAAGGUGAAAAGCAGAAGAGGACUCGCAGACACUUGAAUUUUGCAGGACUGGUGAAGGUCAAUUGCAUGUUUCUAGGUAACUUCUCAGGCAGAUGCUCAUGAGUUCAGCAGUGGUGUGACUGUGUGUGUGUGUGUGUGUGUGUGUGUGUGUCUGCAAAUCACCCAGAUACUCCCUGAGGGCUUUCAGGGGACCAAUGCUAAACAUUUCAGAAGUCAGAUCUCCUGCAAGAUUCCUAAGCUGAGAUGUCCAAAGCAACAUACUUCAAAUUUCUUCUCUGGUUUCAGACUCAUGACUUUAUGUUUUCCCGCUUUCAGACUUCAGCUGGGGAAAUACUGAGGUUAACGUACGAGAACACUGAUCACAAAUGUUACAUGAAUCCAAGUGAUUGAUGGCAUUUCAGCCAUUGACUAUCAUAGCUUGUGUUAAUCUACAGAUGUUGUAUUAACUCUGAGCCAUUUCCCAGUUCUCAUUAGCAAUAUGCUUUGAUGGGGAAGAAGGUGUUAGCUGUAUUUUCCCUUCAGUGAGCUGUUUAAUCAUUGGAGCUCACUAGCAGUGGGAUUUGGGGGACUUACGUGAUCACAAAGUGAAUUAAGAGUAAAACAAUACUCUCCCUCUGGCUUCUCUGGGACAGCGCACAGGGGAGGAAAUGGGUUCAGAGCUGCUCUCUUUCCCCAUUUAAGCAGCACUGGUGUGCUCCAGUGAGGACUAAGCAGGAAGCUGCUGCCUCCUUAGUUAAGAUCUUGCUGGUUUUUGGGAGCACACUCAGACCAGCUCUCCUGCAGAUCAGCACAUGCCAGUGAACUUGUUGUAGCAUGUUUAGCUGCACGUUCUUGUUGGCUUACUGAGGUCUGAUCCAAAGCUUACUGCAGAUACAGGGAAGAUUAAUGUACUUCUUCAGUGGUCUUUGGUCUUCUCUCUGGAGGCAAAAAUACAACUGUGAUAGAUACAUGGGUGAGUGAACCCUACAUUACCACCACAUUUCACUCUGAGGAGAUGGCAAAAGGGAUUCUGCAGCCCAACCUUGUGCAUCCCAGAGCAGUAAAAGCAACAUGAAUCCUACUUAAUAAGUAAUUCAAAAGCACUUUCUGGUUUGUGAAUCAUCUUCAUCCCAGAUUUUCUGAGACUCUUGGGUAAUGAGACAAGAACAGUGCACCUUCUGUAGUCAUUUCUACCUGCUCACUGGGCUACCAGGCUGCUCUGGCCCUAAUUUUGAGCUGUUCUUCUAAACUACUUUCUGCCACUAAGCAAUUCUCAUCUAGAGAUCUCAGACAUGAAGUAAUCCUCCCAGCUUUUCUAUUAAAAAAAGCUAACUACCAUUAAACCUGUUUUACAGGUGGGUAGGCUGAGCUCCAGUCUGCCUGAGAUCACAAAGUGUUAUUUAGGACCAAACUGGCUGGGCUGACACAUUCCUGCAGCAGGGAUGACCGCUUUUCUUAGAGGAAAAGAGUGCCCAGGCAGAGGGAGGGCUGGCCUCUGUUUAUGUGCGUGCUUUGCACAUGACUGUGAAGCACAUAAGCCUCACUGGCUGCGUGGCUGGAAUCCAGGUGUCCCUCAGAUGAAGAUGCAAGUGUAGGGUAAACUAAAAUGCCGUGCUCGGCUCUUUGUGCUGAGCCAUCCGGCAGGUGGGAAUGCACAACUCUGCCUGAUUGCUUAUGCCUGAGUCACCUCCUUCAGCAUUUGCCAUUGCCUAGCAUGUUAGCAUGCUGCCUGCUGGAUAAUAAAUGACUUCAUCUGCUGCAGCAGUGAGGAUACUAUUAAAAAUUAACCCUGGGAAAUGGUCCUGCAUAUUUUUUUCAGUCAGAGCAGACAAGGGGGAAGAAGAGAUGAAUGCUGUUGAAAUGGGAUUUGCAGAAAAGGCAAGUGGUAAGUUUUUAGUAAUGGGGAUGGUUCAGGCUUCAGUUUAAUCACUGCAGAUGUUGGCAAUCGAUGAUCAAAAUUCAGAGGGCUUAAGGCACUUGAUAAAGUUAAAAGCAGUGCAGGUAGAAAAGACUCAAUAGGCAUAUUGCAGAGGAGGUUAAAGAAUGGGAUAAAUGGAGAUUACUGUGCUGACAUGUAAUUUAUGACCUGUUUGCAAAAAUAAAUGAAUUUAUCACGUGGAUGUUAUUACCCCUUGUAAGGAAUGAUGCCUGUAGAUGAA